CCGUACGCUACUACAACUUCGUCAAUGCCUAGCCACCCCAAAUCCCCUCCUAUCGACCACGGCGCCGCCACCGACGCCGGCCGUCUCAUGUGCCCCCUCCACGCCGACCCCGCCGUGCUCCUCUUCUCCGCGAAUGCCGCCGUUAGCCUUCGCAUCUCCCGAGCCACUGUUUCUCUCAAAGGAGUACACCCAUGCCACGGAGGUCGGAUCGGGCAGCAGCAACUCGAGGAGGACGACAGCACCAGGAUCUCGGGGAGGUGAGCUCGAGGGCAUUACCCAUCUCCUCCAUGUCCAACCCCCAAACUCCGGCGCCCCAACUCCCACACCGCCCGCGAGUCAAAUCCCUGCGCGCCGCCGACGGAAACUCCCCCUGCAUCUCGCGCCGCCACGACUAACCACCUGUGCGCCGAACCAAAUCGCCGCCGGUAGCGCCGCUCUGUCGACGCGACUCCCUCGAGCUCCCUCCCGGCCGUGUCCUUCCAGAUAGGCACAUCGUCCUCCCGCCGCGGCAGCGGUGCAACGACACGAGGUGUGGGGGGGAAGGGAGAUACAGGUGGAGGAGGGCGGUGGCGGUUAGCGUUGUUGGGAGCUCGAUCUUGAAGUGGGCCUUGACAGUGGCAAGCUGGGAGCUGGCGAGGUAGAUGUCGUCGUCGACAAGGGCCGUGAGCUCAUCUCCUUUGGCCCCAAGUCCGACUACCACCACAACCUGACAUGCUCCUCCAUAGGCCUUGGAUUACUGUUAGCUACCAGAUGAAGUUCGGAGAAAGGAGCUAAGACAUGACUCACCAGGUCUGCUCUAUAUUGUACCAUACAGUUCAUAUUUUGGUAGUCUUGCUUCUUCGGAAAUUUCUGAAAUUCAAAGUUACCCUCGAAGUGGUAGAGAAUGAACAGAACUAGAGCAUGGGCCAUUGUCAGCUUCUGUGUUGGUAGGGCGAUUCUUAGGCGCACCAAGAUACUGGUCCUGGACGAAGCCACUGCUUCGGUGACAGUGCAACCAAUAACCUGAUCCAGAACACACCACAACAUCAUUUCUCAGGGUCAACUGUCAUCACGACCGUGCAUCGAAUCACCUCGAUCCUCGACAACAAUAUAGUCUAGAUUCUUGACAAUGUUGCAGGCCUUGCUGGAGUCUGGAGCCACCAAGGCCAGCCAAGUUGUUGGAAGACAAUUUUUCUCUGUUCUCAAAGCUUGUGGUGGAAUCCAUUAUGAGGUUGAUACACACUUGAGCCAACAUCACAAAUGUUAUCAAAAUGAAAGUUUACCUUAUCCAAAUUGUGGUAUGCAAAUAUUAGAAAGGUACUACGCCUCUCUGAUUCAUCGGAUGUGCUAUAGAAGCUGGCAUGUAAUAUGUGAAAUUUGAAUAGCUAGGCGCACUACUGGGCAUUGAAGGACGUGCUGGCUCUUGACUUAUUUCUGCAGUCGGCGGCACACCAUGAACUAACUGGAGGAGCUAAACUGGAUUUGUAGGCUUCUGCAAAGUGCUAGCACCUAGAGAUGAUCUGGAUUUUCCUCUUGUAAAUGUCAUGAGGCAUGAGCCACAACCUCUUCAUAGAACAUUAAAACAAAACAUUGAUCCCCAUGUGGGUACACAAACAUUGUCCUUAUGAUUUAUUUUUCCUUUGGAUGAUUGUGGACCAUGUUUUUUUCA